AUGAAUAAAAGGGCGAAAGCAAAUAAGAAAUUAGGUAUACGAUUAUUAUUAUUAUUAUUGUUAUUACUACAAUACAAUAGAAUACAAUACAAUUGUAGAAAGAUAAGAUCGUGAAUUUGCUUUGAACAGUGAAUACACACACACACACAGAUGCAGGUUAAGGUAUAUCGUUGAUUGACUCAUCGUGUUCACUUGAUGGCUGAAGAACAUUUAGAUUUUGGAGAUGAGGAAUUUGGCGGGUCUCAGAAGAUGCAAUAUCAUGGCGAUGGGGCAAUCCCUGCACUUGCAGAUGAUGAGAUUGUAGGUGAAGAUGACGAAUAUGAUGAUCUGUACAAUGAUGUUAAUGUUGGUGAAAAUUUUCUUCAAAUGCAACGUGCUGCUGAGUUACUACCAUCUGCUAAUGCUGGAAACGGAAAAUUCCAUGAUCAAAAACCCAAUGUUGUGGAAACACAACCCGAACCUACGUCACAAGACUUAAAUAUAAACACAAACAUACCCAAACCCGUUUAUCCAAGUACUGGCUUGAGUAAAGAAGGGCUGACCGUUGACCUUUCGCAAAAAAGAAUGGUUCCUCAAGUGAGUAACGAUACAGGUUUUCACGCCCCCCAAAACUCCCUGGUUGAACCCGUUCCGGGGCCCGUUGGAAAUGAAUCUGGACCUAUGUUAAAUUCAAAUAUAAGUCAUGAUCCAGCUGGCGUUGGCGGUCCUCAAAUGCCAGGUCAUCAGAUGGGUGUGAAUCAAGUUCGACCACCAGCAGACAAUGGUGCGACCACUCUGUUUGUUGGUGAGCUACACUGGUGGACAACAGAUGCAGAGCUGGAAAAUGUUUUAUCUCAAUACGGAAGAGUAAAAGAAAUAAAGUUUUUUGAUGAACGGGCUAGUGGAAAGUCGAAGGGAUAUUGUCAAGUUGACUUUUAUGAUUCAGGUUCGGCUGCUGCUUGUAAAGACGGGAUGAACGGUUAUGUUUUCAAUGGAAGACCAUGUGUGGUGGCAUUUGCUUCCCCUCAGACUAUAAGACAAAUGGGUGCUUCUUAUGGUAACAAAAAUCAAGGACCAACCAUUCAGUCCCAGGCGGAACCACCAGGGCGGAGACCGGCGAAUGACAUGGCGGGAAGAGGCGGUGGGAAUAAUUUUUCCGGCGGAGAUACAGGGCGUAAUUACGGGCGGGGUAACUGGGGCCGAGGAGGAGGGCAGGGGGGUAUGAAUCGGGGGAAUAUGAGAGGUAGAGGGGGUAUGGGACCAAAGAAUAUGAACACACCUGGGUUUGGAAAUGGUCCAGCUGGUGGCGGUUAUGGGGGCCCGGGUUUCGGCGGCCCUCCUGGUGGGUUCAUGCCGCCUCAAGGUAUGAUGGGUGGUGGUUUUGAUCCGACGUAUAUGGGUCGUGGAGCGGGUUACGGUGGUUUUCCAGGAUCCGGUUUUCCCGGUAUGAUGCCACAGUUUCCGGGUGUUAAUACGAUGGGACUUGCUGGGGUGGCACCGCAUGUGAACCCCGCUUUCUUUGGGCGGGGGAUGGGUGGCGGUGGUAUGGGGAUGAUGGGUACUGGUGGGAUGGAGGGACCUCAAGCAGGAAUGUGGGGUGACACUAGUAUGGGUGGGGGGUGGAAUGGAGAAGAACAAGGUCAAGGUCAAAGAACUCGAGAGUCAAGUUACGGUGGUGAAGAUGGCGGUUCAGAAUACGGGUAUGGUGGCGGUGAGACUAGCCAUGAAAAAGUAACGACCAAUAGGUCAAACGCUGUUUCUCGUGAAAAAGAGCGUGAAUGGUCUGGAAAUUCAGAGAAAAAGCACCGUGAAGAGCGGGACCCGGACCGUGAUCGUGAUCGUUACAACAAAGAUUACAAAUACAAAGAGGAAAAAGACAGUUACCGGGACCACCACCGUCAGAAGGACCGCACCACUGAUUACGACGACGACUGGGAACAUGGUGGUCGGUCUUCAACACGGUCCAGGAGCCGAUCCCGAGCCAUGCCUGCAGAAGACGACCACCACCACCACCGUUCACGAUCAAGGGACGCAGAUUAUGGGAAACGGAGACGCAUGAGGUCAGAUUAACAUUAACCGGUGGUCAUACUACACCAUAUGCAGAAAUCAGCUUCAGGAUUUAAAAAGGAACGUUAUGACUUGGGCGAAGCAGACCUGAUUCAUUGGUUUCUAUGAAAUUGGCUAAGUUAUAUUUUGCAUCAACUGAAUGACUGCUGGAACACACCAAAUUAUAAGUUUAUAUUUUUCAUGCUGUCAUUAAGUAUUUGAUUUGUUGUAUCGAGAAUCUGUUUAUGUUGUUUAGAAUCGAGUGUCGGGUAUGCAGCCCAUUUUUCAGUUGUAAAUACCGAUGUAAUGUAUGCAGCGUUUAAGCUCCAAAAUGGGGAUGUAAUGUGUAGAUGUAGAUCAUGCUAAUUUUAGGCUUUGGGUUGCUUCCUGUAUUUUAAAAGGGCUGCAAUUCAAACAGUUUUCCGCAUGCUUUGUAUGCUUUAGCUU